rnacentral:lncRNA from 1 species
GGAACUCAAAGAGUUGACCUCUAGUACAUAGACAGGGCAACAAGUAGAGGGAGGGAUGGGGUUACUAACCCACAGUCAAAAUUUCAGACCCAGCAUUGUUUCUGUCUAAAAGAACUGCAAGGACAAAAAUGGAGAAGAGACUGAAGGAAAGGCAGUCCAGUGACUGGGCUAACUUGGGAUCCAUCUCUAGGGAGGUUACCAAGGCCUGACUGUAUUUCUGAUGCUAUGAUGUGCUUACAGAGAGGAGCCUAGCAUGGCUGUCCUCUGAGAGGCACUACCAGCAGCUGACUGAGACAGAUGCGGAUAUGUACACUCAACCAUUGGACUGAGGACCAAAUUGGGGACCCCUAUAGAGGAAUGAGGGGAAGGAUUGAAGAAGCUGAAGGGGAGGGUAAUUCCAUAGGAAGACCAGCAGUUUCAACUAACUCAGACUCCUGGGAGCUCCUAGAGAAUGGAGCCACCAACCAGGUAGCACAGACUGGCUGAUCUGAGACACUGGCACAUAUAUAGCAGAAGAUUGCCUGGUCUGGCCUCAGUGGGAGAAGAUGUGCCUUAUCCUUUUUUUUUUUAUAGAUGAAUUUUUUACUAUGCUUUGCUCCAUGCACUUUUUAAAGUCAUAGAUACUGAGAUCAUUCUUAGCUUUUGU